rnacentral:rRNA from 1 species
AUGGGCAGCGUGGUUUUACUGUGGGUGUUGAGGAGCGGGGAGGGUGAGGAGGACGAAGGUGGGGGAAGGAGCAGCGAGUCAGGUGAUGGGUUAGGGCCACCGGUCGAGGGGGAGGGGAGGACGGCCACUGCUCGCCACCUCCCUGCCUCGUUUGCUGCAUCGUCGCCCUCCUAUCCACUGCUCUUUGUCCCCCGCGACACAGCUCCGGCCACAGUAGCUUGUUGCCUCCCGCUUCCUUCCUUGCAUGCUAACCACUGCCUCACCAGAUUGGUGUUGAACAUAAUAAGCAGGGAUAGAGGGACAGAAAAGAUAUAUUUGUCGCGGCGCUGCAAGUGUUGCCCCCCUCCCCCCCAAGGGCAAGGUGAAGAAAGGUGCCUAUGUGGUUUUUCUGCAGCUCGCAGCGAGGAUUGUUGUGUUCAACCUGCACAAGAAUGCCAAGAAGUCCUUCUCGGAGACGAUUAA